rnacentral:tRNA from 1 species
UAGCUCAGUCAGUUGAGCCUGGUGUUAACAACGCCAAGGUCAUGGGUUCGAUUCCCGU